rnacentral:rRNA from 1 species
CCCUUAGAUGUUCUGGGCCGCACGCGUGCUACACUGAGUGGAUCAGCGGGUCAGGUUGCGCGAAAGUGUUUCCUAAUCUUGAAAUCCGCUCGUGAUGGGGAUUGACGGUUGCAAUUUUCCGUCAUGAACGAGGAAUACCUUGUAAGCGCGGGUCAUCAUCCCGCGCUGAAUACGUCCCUGCCCUUUGUACACACCGCCCGUCGCUCCUAUCGAUUGAGUGGUCCGGUGAGGCUUUGGGAUCUGAGCAAAGAGAGCGUUUCGCUCGUUUUGCCCGGAAAACUCAGUCGAACCUUAUCAUUUAGAGGAAGGAGAAGUCGUAACA